AUGCUCGCUUUGGCAGCACAUAUACUAAAAUUGAAAUGAUACAGAGAAGAUUGGCAUGGCCCCUGUGCAAGGAUGACACUCAAAUUCCUGAAGCAUUCCAGAAACAA